rnacentral:rRNA from 1 species
UUAGUCCUACGGGACGCAGCAGUGGGGAAUAUUGCACAAUGGGGGGAACCCUGAUGCAGCAAUGCCGCGUGAAGGAUGAAGGUUUUCGGAUUGUAAACUUCUUUUGUACGGGACGAAGAAAGUGACGGUACCGUAAGAAUAAGCCACGGCUAACUACGUGGCAGCAGCCGCGGUAAUACGUAGGUGGCAAGCGUUAUCCGGAUUUACUGGGUGUAAAGGGCGUGUAGGCGGGAAAGCAAGUCAGAUGUGAAAACCAUGGGCUCAACCUGUGGCCUGCAUUUGAAACUGUUUUUCUUGAGUACUGG